rnacentral:rRNA from 1 species
UGAGGAAUAUUGGUCAAUGGGCGAGAGCCUGAACCAGCCAAAUCGCGUGAAGGAAAACUGCCUUAUGGGUUGUAAACUUCUUUUGUAUAGGAAUAAAAAGGGGGACGCGUCCUCCAUUGCAUGUACUGUACGAAUAAGCAUCGGCUAACUCCGUGCCAGCAGCCGCGGUAAUACGGAGGAUGCGAGCGUUAUCCGGAUUUAUUGGGUUUAAAGGGUGCGCAGGCGGGCUUUUAGGUCAGCGGUGAAAUCUCGACGCUUAACGUCGAAACUGCCGUUGAAACUGGGAGUCUUGAGUAUAGAUGAAGUAGGCGGAAUUCGUUGUGUAGCGGUGACAUGCUUAGAUAUAACGAGGAACUCCGAUUGCGUAGGCAGCUUACUAAGCUAUAACUGACGCUCAAGCACGAAAGCGUGGGGAUCAAAACAGGAUUAGAUACCCUGGUAGUCCACGCCGUAAACGAUGAUUACUAGUUGUAUGCGAUAUACCGUAUGUGACUAAGCGAAAGCGAUAAGUAAUCCACCUGGGGGAGUACGCCGGCAACGGU